rnacentral:lncRNA from 1 species
CUCCUAACAUAUAAAUGUCAUAAAUAUGCAGCCUCAGACUAACACUAACAGACAACACUUUGCUCUGCAGAAGACAAGAAACAAAAAGAUCAUGUUUGGUAAGUAUAUAGUAUUCAUAUUACUCCUCUAAGAAACGGUUUCUGUCACCUAAAAAAUUACAAUACUCAUAUCUGAAUAUUUUCAUUUCAUAUAGAUAUCUGCGAAAAUUGUAACUUCUAUAUCGUCCUGUUGAAGUGUGGAUGCAGAUUGCACGUACAGACACUCGAUCCAACAGAGGAAAAUCUGUCUUGUCCAAUUUGUAGGUUUGUUAAACGACACCAAUAGUUAUAUAGUCUCUGUUAUUCGUUCACAAAAUCAGAUUUUAUUUUAAUUCUUUUUUUUAAACUCGUACUUUGCAGAACCCCUGUGGACAUGGAACUGGUAGAAACAUGGCCAGAAAUCACGGACACCAGGUAAA